CUUUGAAGAGAGAGUUCUCGAGGGCGUGAACCGCUAAGAAGGAAACGGAUAGAGUCGACGACACUUGUGCGGUAUUCAGCCAAACAACGUUGCGGCACUUAUGAUUUGAUGUCUCGAUGAGAGUUGAAUUAUGAGAGGACUGUAUGCGUAUAGUUUGGUGUAUUUAUCGUCGGUAUGUGCUGAGGAAUUUGUUGUGAUAUGUUGAAGCAAUAUAAAGAGGACCAUAUUAAUCUUAAUGUGGAAACUUUUAUAUGUUCAGACAUAUUCUAAAUAAAUUGUAUUGACAUUCUCCGCUAUAGCGCAUAAAUUAUAAGUUGUUUAUUGAAUUACUGAGCGGUCGCAUGCGAUUUGCUUGUAAUUUUAAUGGAUAUCUAUAUAAUUAAUAUGCGUUGAGAGUGUAUCUCGGUGUGAAAGUCGAUCACCUAUCCGACCCGUCUUGAAACACGGACCAAGGAGUCUAGCAUAUGCGCAAGUCAUUGGGUGGUAAACCUAAAGGCGUAAUGAAAGUAAAUGUUGUUUUGGACAACUGAUAUGGGAUCUGUUUAGUUUUAACUAAGCAGCGCACCAUAGUCCCGUCUAUGUUGCUUGCAAUAGGGCGGCGAUAGAGCGCAUACGCUGGGACCCGAAAGAUGGUGAACUAUGCCUGAGCAGGAUGAAGCCAGAGGAAACUCUGGUGGAGGUCYGAAGCGGUUCUGACGUGCAAAUCGAU
rnacentral:rRNA from 1 species